AUUCUCUCAGGAAAAAAAACAAGGUCCCCACAGCAAAGAAAAGGGAAUAGGAUAAAGAGAUACGUGGCUGCUGGCAGAGCAAGCCAGCCGCAAGUCCACCUAGUUCCUGGGAACCCACCGAGUUUCGUGUCGAAUGUGAACGGGCAGCCUGUGCAGAAAGCUUUGAAAGAAGGCAAAACCUUGGGGGCCAUCCAGAUCAUCAUUGGCCUGGCUCACAUCGGCCUCGGCUCCAUCAUGGCGACGGUUCUCGUAGGGGAAUACCUGUCUAUUUCAUUCUACGGAGGCUUUCCCUUCUGGGGAGGCUUGUGGUUUAUCAUUUCAGGAUCUCUCUCCGUGGCAGCAGAAAAUCAGCCAUAUUCUUAUUGCCUGCUGUCUGGCAGUUUGGGCUUGAACAUCGUCAGUGCAAUCUGCUCUGCAGUUGGAGUCAUACUCUUCAUCACAGAUCUAAGUAUUCCCCACCCAUAUGCCUACCCCAACUAUUAUACUUACGCCUGGGGUGUGGUGAGUAUCCCUCUCAACCAAAGAUCCUCUAAGUUCAGAAUUAGCUACAUUUAGAAAACUCCCAGAAAGGGCCUGACAACCA
rnacentral:sRNA from 1 species